UCUGAAAACCCAAUCUCUCCAUUAGGUGCCCUUCAAUGGAGCAAGUGCUGCUGCCCCUUUAAAGUCCCAGAAGGAGAUGAUUGCUGCUCUGGAUCUAGAGGGACAAGGAAGGAGCCUGAGCCCCAGGUGCAUCCUGGAAGACCCUGCUCCCUGGUCCAACCCCGCCUCCCAAGGACGUGUUGGUGCAGACAGGACUGGACAGAAUGGAAGCCACAGCACAGCCCUGAACUGGACCACCCGACCCUGUGGACAGUGGAGGCUUGACCAGCUACUCACCUGAUGUUAUGGACACUCAUAGAUUGAUUGCGCCGGCCCCACCAUGAGGGAAUCGGUUGGCACAGGGCUGCUGCCCCCUGGACACUCCCCCACCCCAGCCCGCAACUGUAUCCCCUCCUUCCAGACAAUGCCAUUUCCUUUGGGGGUCAAGGGUCAAACACCGCAUCAUGGGUGCCAAACCAAUCUCUUGCAACUCUAGGAGGCGAUGGAGGGGUGUGUAUGUGUGUCUGUUUCUUGUGUGAGAGUGAGGGCUGGGACAGGAGCAGGGUGAGAGGGGCUGACCCUCUUUGGACGGGUAAAGGUUUCUGGAAACAGGGGUCUAGAGUCUGGCCUGUACUCCGUGGACCUCAAGACCGGGCGUGAAGUCGUCCUGGGGCCCUUAAUUCUAUAGUCAGUGCGUCUUACUCCCGCUCUGGUCCGUUGGGAGUUUUCGGGCCUGCUCUGGCUUCAAGAGUACAGACUCUCUU